rnacentral:rRNA from 1 species
UACGUAGGGUGCGAGCGUUAAUCGGAUUUACUGGGCGUAAAGCGUGCGCAGGCGGCCCGUUAAGACAGGUGUGAAAUCCCUGGGCUCAACCUAGGAAUUGCGCUUGUGACUGGCGGGCUCGAGUACGGUAGAGGGGGGUGGAAUUCCUGGUGUAGCAGUGAAAUGCGUAGAGAUCAGGAGGAACACCGAUGGCGAAGGCAGCCCCCUGGGCCUGCACUGACGCUGAGGCGCGAAAGCGUGGGGAGCAAACAGG